AACGAACGCUGGCGGCAGGCCUAACACAUGCAAGUCGAGCGAAGCCUUCGGGCUUAGCGGCGGACGGGUGAGUAACGCGUGGGUACGUGCCCUUUGGUAUGGACUAGCCCCGGGAAACUGGGAGUAAUACCGUAUGUGGUCGAGAGACGAAAGAUUUAUCGCCAAAGGAUCGGCCCGCGUUGGAUUAGGUAGUUGGUGGGGUAAUGGCCUACCAAGCCGACGAUCCAUAGCUGGUUUGAGAGGAUGAUCAGCCACACUGGGACUGAGACACGGCCCAGACUCCUACGGGAGGCAGCAGUGGGGAAUCUUAGACAAUGGGGGAAACCCUGAUCUAGCCAUGCCGCGUGAUCGAUGAAGGCCUUAGGGUUGUAAAGAUCUUUCAGUGGGGAAGAUAAUGACUGUACCCACAGAAGAAGCCCCGGCUAACUCCGUGCCAGCAGCCGCGGUAAAAC
rnacentral:rRNA from 1 species